UACGUAGGGGGCUAGCGUUGCUCGGAUUGACUGGGCGUAAAGGGCGCGUAGGCGGAUAGUACAGUCAGGCGUGAAAUUCCUGGGCUCAACCUGGGGGCUGCGUUUGAUACGUGCUGUCUGGAGUUCGGAAGAGGGUCGUGGAAUUCCCAGUGUAGAGGUGAAAUUCGUAGAUAUUGGGAAGAACACCGGUGGCGAAGGCGACUAACUGGACAUGUAUUGACGCUGAGGUGCGAAAGCGUGGGGAGCAAACAGG
rnacentral:rRNA from 1 species